GAUCAGGAGAGACCGCGCGGACAUGCGCCUCGCGCGGCGCCGAAGGGGCAAAUGAUAUAAACUCUCAGGCAAAAGGACUGAUC
rnacentral:ncRNA from 1 species